CGCCGACUAUAGAGCCGGGUCCCCAAGGACGGCAUAGCACUCUGUUAAUACAGACCGAUUCUCUUAGUCAACAUACAUAAUUGUAUUACAUUUUAAAAGUCGAGUGAAGUAAAUGCACCUGCUAGGCCAAAAAUCCCUUUACUGUACUGAAUUUGGGGUGUAGAUGCUGCCCUAACAGCCAUGCAACUAAACUGUAUUGUUUAUGGGAAUUUACAUUUUGCAAACUCCAUACCAACUAUAGGUUGACAGAUACUCACUAAAACUAACUGAUUCAGUCAUUGCAGUGCUUGAC